UAAACCAAAGCAGAAAGCAUUUUCAAAACAUUUCUCAGAGAAUUCUUCUUCUUUCCGAUAAAUUUGGCACUUGUUUUUCAGACAUUUUUUCUUCAGAGUUGAGAAUUGUCAGAAAGGGAAUGAAAAGAAAAGAAAAUUCGUGACUGUGCUUAAAUGCAAACAUCAUUUCGCGUUGUCUCUCGCCUUCUCCAUUCCCCUAAACACUUGUCCACUUUUAGUCGCAGCUCUCGUUUCCCUGUCAUUGGCAACUUUCUCUUCAAUGACACUAGUUAUCUCUCUCAAUUGCUGCUAUUAACCAGCAAGAAAAACUACAAUUUGGAGCCUAGUUUCACGCAGCAGAUUUCUAGCUCUCAGCUAGGUUCCUAUCUGCAGUAUCGGAGUUUCGUCUCGCGCGGUUGCCCGGAAUUGGUGUCUUCGCAUAGUGAUCACUACCGUAAUCAUCAGUACUCGUUUCAUCGCAGUACGUUUCUUCAUCGAAACAACUCUGUUUGGGAUGUUUGCUUAUUGGACUAAUGGCACUUCUUGCUUAUGGUCUCAGUAGCUCAAGGCGUGCACUAGAUGCUCUUCAUCCGUUAUAAAUGAUACAAGGAGCAUACAAUUAUCAAGGAUUGUUUGUCCAUAUGGAAGCCUGAUGCGGUGCAUUUGGAAACCCAAUAGAGGUGCUUUCUCACAUUUAAUGCAUCCUCUUAUACUUUCAAGCUAUCUCUGAUCUUUGGAUCCACUUGACCAAUUCAGAAUCGGUUCCACUUGCUGAGGGAUGGACUUGGAACCUCUUACUGCUAUCUUGAGGUGCGAGGUGGCCAAUUUACCUAUGAAAGAUUUGGGUUUUGUUUUACAUAUUAGGAAGAGUAUAAAAAUAAAAAUUUUUAUGUAUAUUUCAUUUCUGUAAUUGCUACUUACUGGGUGGCUUCCUUUGCACAAGUCAUUUGCAUGCAUGGGUACUCUGAAAAAGAUCUCUGUGGUUGUUUAUAACUACUGACAUCUAUAACUUUAUUUAAUUCCUACAACCACUAGGCAGUAUGGCUUCUUUCUCUCAUAAGCAUGGGUGACAAAAAACAACUUGUCAAAAGAAAGGUUUAUGUGGUCCUUUAUAUAUGCUGACAUCUAAUAACUUUUUUUU